ensembl:lncRNA
CUGUAAUUCAUGGGAUUUAGAGACAGUCUGCUCAUUUCACUAGCUCACUUGGAAAUUGAGGUCCAUGGGUUUCCCUGCAUGUCCGGUCCCCUCUGUCUCCAAGGCAUGGAAAUGACAUAGAGUCCUUACAGAUACAUUUGUGCUUUUGUCGCUCUUCUAAUCUGCGUUUUGUGGAGGAGAAGCGGCGAGAUCUGGGAGCACAUUUUGUUUCCUCAGUGAUUAAUAACUACCUCCGCCAGCAGAAGGAAACGGCGAGGAGUUUCCAACAGCAGUCCAAUCAGCUGGCUUCUGCUCACCGCCACAGACAAUGUGAAGAGAAUCUCUGACGGACUGGUUGUCUGCCCUCGCUCUGCUCCAUACACACAGCCAAUAGGCUGCCAUUGCAGAGAGGAAGUGAAGUGACAAGGCGGCAUUGUCCUACCGGAGAACCGAUUUAGUCUCUUUUUGUCAGACUCCUUGCUGUUGACCAGUGCCACAUUUCUUUUCAGAUUCUUGGCUUUUGUUUUUUGCUUACAACUUUUAAAGAUUUAUCAGUAAAAACAUCUAAAUAUACAAACUAUAUACAUGUUAUACAAAGACAUUUUCUGCUUCUUUGAAGGACUUGUUAUGCACAUGAAUCUUGUCUUG